UACAUAUAUAUAAUUUAAUAGUGCUCAGGUACAAUACUAUAAAUAGUACCAAACACUUUAUACUAUCUAGUUUUCUGCCGUUAGAUUAGUAUGGUUUACCGUAUUCUUUUUGAACAUUAUACAUAUAUAUAAUUUAAUAGUGCUCAGGUACAAUACUAUAAAUAGUACCAAACACUUUAUACUAUCUAGUUUUCUGCCGUUAGAUUUACUCUUUUGACCAUUUUCAUCCGUUAAACCAUACUAUUCUAUCAACCCCCAUUCAAUUCUAAGGUAACAGCACCAUCCUAACCGCACACUAUUUCAUUUACGGGUGAAAACUUAAUAGCACCAGUGACUUAGAUGCUAUUAACAGUAUUCUAGUCUAGUUCAUAAUUAACAAUUAUACUAAGUAAA
rnacentral:lncRNA from 1 species